ensembl:lincRNA 4930478P22Rik RIKEN cDNA 4930478P22 gene
CAGUCAUGCCUGCCAAGGAUCGGUUAGCAUCCUAGCAUGCUUGUGGGAUUAUCUUGAUGGGAUUGAGGCUAACAGCCAUGCUGCUGCUGAUCCACCCUGCCAGGUCCUAGCCUGGCAGAAGUCAUUUUGCAGCAAGGAGAGACUAAGACAGCAGUGGGAUCUCAAGGAUCUGAGCUGAGUCUGAUGUCCUCGCUGUACAGAAUUCUGUUUUCCAGACAUUUUUGCAUGCUGGAUGUGGGACAUUGAGCAUUAGUGUGCUGAGGAGACUCCUUCCUUGUGACCUGGUCCAGCAAACCACUUAAAACCCCAUCACGCUGACGGCCAUGCUCAGAAAUAGAAAAGUGAUUCUUUUAUGGCAUUUACUGCUCAGACUUAUCCACUCAGCCGAGUAAACAAGACCCCACAAGGAGCCGGUUUUGAUUCUCGGGGUGCCCUGUCACGUCUGAAUUAUGUCACACAGCAGGACUCUGGGCAGGUGAUAUGAGGGUUGUGUUCAUGACUGUGUAGCCCUGCUCCGGCCCUGGGGGAAGACCCGUCAGCAUCCUUUACUCCCGGAGGUGGAGGAUCUGCGGACAAUGCAGAGCAGCACUGGAAGGGACAGAGCUCUCUUGCCUGAUGUUGACUCUCCACCCAGAGUGCCAGCAUUUAUUUGCUUUUCCAGAGUGUUGUGGGAACGAAAGGCUAAUCAAAAGCCAUGGUGCCUGAAACCCUUAAAGGACCAAA